rnacentral:misc_RNA from 1 species
CAAGAAGAGACCCUAACCGGUCCUCUCAACCCUGCCCAUCGUACCAUUUUUGUUGUUCCCCCUCGGCGGCGCUCGCGGGCCCGCCGGCGGGAAGACCAAACAAACCCUUUGCAAACAAGCAUAUCAAAAAUCCCUGAUACAAACAUGAAUUGUCA